AUGAUCACGGAGUGCAUCAAGAGGAGGAAACAGGGUCGCCGUGGUGGCCGUCCUCAAAAGGACUCGGGAGGCUCCUCUAAUUCUCGUGAGGGCUCCCUUGAGAAGGUUCACCAGGAGAUGCUCACCUUGCUGCGCCGCCUUACUGCUUCUGCACCAUCCUCAGGUUCUGCUGGUUCUGCUGGUCAGACGUCUGGUCCACCACCGCACUCUUCGUCAGGUACAUCUUUGCCCUGGAUUCUUGAUUCUGGGGCCUCCUUCCACAUGACACCACACAGAGAUCAUCUUUGUGCUGUCAAUUCCGUGCCUUCUCCUCUUACAGUUCAGACUGCAGAUGGCACUUCUCUUUCUGUUGCCGCAAGAGGGACUCUUUCCACGUCUUCUUUUCAUGUCCCUGCUGUUUCUCAUGUUCCUAAACUGACUAUGCAACUUCUAUCUGCUGGUCAACUUACUGACUUGGGUUGUCGUGUUAUUCUGGAUUCUGACUCUUGUUGUGUUCAGGAUCGUCGUACGGGGACUCUGGUUGGGAUCGGUCCUCGGCGCCAUGACUCUCAGCGCCUUUGGGAGCUCGAUUGGCUGCGCCUUCCUUCCGCUGCGUCCUCUAGCCAGUCGGACAUCACCACCCCUUUUGCUUCAGCUGCCACCUCCACCACAUCCUUCGCUCAGUGGCAUCAUCGAUUGGGUCACAUUUGUGGCUCCCGCUUGUCUUCUUUGGUUAGGAGUGGUGUUCUAGGGUCUGUAUCUGGUGAUAGUUCACUAACUUGUAUGGGUUGUAAGCUUGGCAAGCAGAUACAACUUCCAUAUCCCUCUAGUAAUUCUGUUUCUCAACGACCUUUUGAACUUGUUCACUCUGAUGUAUGGGGUCCUGCCCCCUUUGUUUCGAAAGGGGGUCACAAAUAUUAUAUAAUUUUCAUUGAUGAUUUUUCUCGCCACACUUGGAUCUACUUUAUGUCAUCUCGUAGUCAAGUGCUUCAAAUUUACAAGUCGUUUGCUACCAUGGUUCGCACUCAGUAUGAUUCCUCUGUUCGAGUUUUUCGUGCUGAUUCGGCUGGCGAGUACUUAUCUCGUGCGCUUCGUGGUUUCCUUGCUGAACAGGGUACCCUUCCUCAGUAUUCCUGUCCUGGUGCACACGCUCAAUAUGGGGUGGCUGAACGCAAACAUCGUCACGUCCUUGAGACUGCUCGGGCUCUUCUUUUAUCUUCUGCUGUUCCCCCGCACUUUUGGGCUGAGGCUGUCUCUACCCCUGUUUAUCUCAUUAAUAUUCAGCCUUCUGUUGCUCUUCAGGGAGGGAUACCAGUUGAUCAUCUAGGUGAUGGUCCAGCUGAUUAUAGUGGUCUACGCAUGUUUGGUUGUGCCUGUUUUGUUCUUCUCCACCCUCAUGAACGCACCAAAUUGACUGCUCAAUCUGUUGAAUGUGUUUUCCUUGGCUACAGUUUGGAGCACAAAGGUUACCGUUGCUGGGACCCUAUUGCUCGAAGACUGAGAAUCUCCAAAGAUGUCACUUUUGAUGAGUCUCGCUCCUUCUACCCUCGUCAUUCUUCUACUGCCACAACCGAGUCGUUAGUCGAGCCUCUCUCUUUUUUGACUCUACCUGAUUCUUCACCUUUAUCGUCACCUGGUAGGUCCACUCCUAGCCUUUCACCUGUGUCUGCUCAUGAGCUUCAGCUUACACAGGAUGAGGUUUCUAUUCCUGACUCUCCUACUCGGGUUGAGCCAUCCACUCUCUCUCCUUUUCCUUUUACCUACUCCCGUCGUGCUCAACACCCUUCUCCCUCUGAUGCGCCACCUUCCACUUCCCCUCUCUCUCCGCUUCCUUUUGUCUACUCCCGUCGUGCUCGGCACCCUUCUCCCUCGGAUGCGCCCACUUCCACUUCCACUCCUUCCCUGUUGGGUCCCAUUCCUUCAGAACCACCUACCCCUCCUGCUCCUCGGUAUAAUCUGCGUGAUCGCCACACUCUCCAGCCUCCUGCGUACUAUGUUGCUGCUGCUACCACUCUUGUUGAGCCGUCUACGUAUCGUGAGGCUGCUGCUCAUUCUGAAUGGCAGCAUGCUAUGGCAGAGGAAAUUCAUGCUCUUGAGCGCACAGGCACUUCGGACCUUGUACCCCUGCCUACAGGCGUUAGACCCAUCACUUGCAAAUGGGUCUACAAGGUUAAGACACAUUCAGAUGGUUCUCUCGUGCGCUACAAAGCUCGUCUUGUUGCGCGUGGCUUCCAGCAGGAGUAUGGUCGUGACUAUGAUGAGACUUUUGCUCCUGUUGCUCACAUGACCACUGUUCGCACUCUUUUGGCUGUUGCUGCUGUUCGGCAGUGGUCCAUCUCUCAAUUAGAUGUCAAGAAUGCCUUCUUGAAUGGUGAGCUGCGGGAAGUGGUCUAUAUGCAGCCGCCUCCUGGCUAUACUGUCUCUGAUGGCACUGUCUGUCGCCUUCGGCGCGCUCUUUACGGGCUAAAACAAGCUCCUCGUACCUGGUUUGAGCGUUUCUCCGCCGUCAUCACAAGGAUCGGGUUCUCUGCUAGUGUUCAUGAUCCUGCUCUGUUUAUUCACACUUCUCCUCGCGGUCGCACCCUUUUACUACUCUAUGUUGAUGACAUGAUUAUCACAGGGGCUGACCACCAAUUCAUUGAUUUUGUGAAGAAACAUCUACAUGAGCAAUUCUUGAUGACUGAUUUGGGUUCUCUUCGCUACUUUCUUGGACUUGAGAUCAUUUCUUCCCCUGAGGGUAUUUAUCUCUCUCAAGAGAAGUACAUCCAAGAUCUUCUCACUCGUGCCUGCCUCACUGAUCAGCGCACGGUUGACACUCCUAUGGAGUUUGGUCUCCAUCUUCGUCCUGGUGAGGGUGAACCCCUUGCAGAUCCCACACGCUACCGCCAUCUUGUUGGGAGCCUUGUCUAUCUAGGCAUCACUCGUCCUGACAUUUCUUAUGCUGUGCACAUUCUAAGUCAGUUUGUCUCUGCUCCCACUCAACUUCACUACAGUCACCUUCUUCGUGUUCUUCGUUACCUUCGUGGUACCGUGACUCGUCGCUUAUUCUUCCCUCGCUCCAGCUCUCUUCAGCUUCAGGCCUACUGUGAUGCUACCUGGGCCAGCGAUCCCACUGAUCGCCGCUCUCUCUCUGCCUAUUGUGUUUUUCUUGGCUCCUCCCUGAUUGCCUGGAAGACCAAGAAGCAGAAUGCUGUAUCUCGCUCCAGUGCUGAGGCUGAGCUGCGAACUAUGGCGUCCGUGACUGCAGAAAUUACUUGGCUACGAUGGCUUCUUCAGGAUUUUGGUGUUUCCACUGCUACACCGACCCCUCUGCUCUCCGACAGCACUGGGGCACUCAGCAUUGCCCGUGAUCCUGUUAAGCAUGAGCUCACCAAGCACAUCGGUGUUGAUGCCUCCUACACUCGUUCUCAGGUGCAAGACAGAAUUGUGGCCCCUCAGUAUGUGCCCUCGGAGCUUCAGCUUGCUGAUUUUCUGACGAAAGCUCAGACACGGUCCCAACACAGCUUUUUCCUGUCCAAACUCGGUGUCCAAGAUCCCCCUUGA
rnacentral:rRNA from 1 species